GGGGUGCUCGAGUGGCGAACGGGUGAGUAACACGUGAGUAACCUGCCCUUGACUUUGGGAUAACUUCAGGAAACUGGGGCUAAUACCGGAUAGGAGCUCCUGCUGCAUGGUGGGGGUUGGAAAGUUUCGGCGGUUGGGGAUGGACUCGCGGCUUAUCAGCUUGUUGGUGGGGUAGUGGCUUACCAAGGCUUUGACGGGUAGCCGGCUUGAGAGGGUGACCGGCCACAUUGGGACUUAGAUACGGCCCAG
rnacentral:rRNA from 1 species